UUGAUACCCUUUUCUGAGGAGGUUGGAAUCAACCCAACUGAGAGAAUGAACUGUGGAGAUUGCCAGUUGUGUAGAAUGAACAGUUUGUCAAGGUGAAUCAAAUAUCUCAUAGCUAGUUUGAAAGGAAGGCAGAUGUAAUCUUGAAUGAUUCACACAAAUUCAUAAGGUGUUAAAGGCAUGAAAAUAAAUUUUAAAAUACUUAAAAAAAAGGUGAAGGAAAAAACCGCUUCGACGUGGGAGGGCUGCAAGAGAAGCAAGGACAUCAGAGCUCAGGGCAACUUCCAUUAAUGCAAGAAACCUCAGGAAAGAGGUUGAGGUCAUACGGUGUUUUGUUGAUCGCAGAGUUAGACAUGCUGGGUGGCAUUUUGGAGAUCAUGAUAAAAGAAUUUGGAAGCUAAGGAAAAGGUAAAUAGGGCAUUAUGCACCUUGUACCCGAUUUACAAUUCACAUAGAAUCCAACUCCGUGAGUUCUGCAACAUGAAGACCCUGGAGGUUGUAAUUGGAGGAAUAUGAGAAUAGGCAUGUUGAGGAUGCUUGGCCCAAAUGGAGAUUAACAGAGGUAGAGAUGUGAGACAAGAUAGAACUAUGUCUUACAGUCUCUAAAAGGAGGGUGGGACUUUAACUUUAAGGUAUCAAUAUUUUUGUUUGUUGAUAAUGCAGCUUGAGAGCCAGCAUUCACGAUGGCUUCCCCAAGAAGUACUAAAUCCUGAGAUUCUUAGUUUCUAAAUAUUUCUCUAGUUAAUCCUCUUUUCCCACUCCCCUCUGUUACUGCCAUAGUUCAGGAUCUCAUUUUCUUUCCCCUGGGGUUUUGCCGAAACCAGAGUCAUUAUUUGCUAUGCCCCCAUACGCUAAACUCGUUAUUUUCCCACAAUGUCAAUUUAACUGGCAUUUUCUACCCAUGCCAUGCCUUCCUACCCCCACAUGCCUUUGUACUUGUUCUCUUCUCCUGCCUUGUCCUUUCUCUCCUUGUUUUCCAGGUAACAACCAGUCUGAUUUCUGCCUUCAGGCCCAUUUUGAAUACCAUUCUGUAAACACUUUUUUGACUACUCCCACCACUUUGAUUUUACAAACAUUACAAUUCCUCAUCUGUGUCUCUGCUACUUUGCAGAAGUGAUUUGUAUUUGUUUCCUCAAUUAUACUAUAAAUUCCUUGGGCCAAAAAUUAUUUCUUAUAUAUGUUUCAGUCCAGUCUUUCAUACACAGUAAGUUCUCACUAAGAGUUUGUUGAAUAAAUAAUGUGAUGCAUCAAAUGACACAUCCAUUUCUGUUUUUCACCAAAGGGUAUCUCUAAAUAUGUUUCCUCUUUACUUUCUCGUUAACAUCAAAGGUAGGUGGUCCCUCAAUUCUCUCUUAAGUUCAAUCAUAAACAAAGCCCUUACUCCCAGGUUUUUUAAUCCAAGUGACUUUAUCAGUUCUUUCAUUUUCUUAUUUAUCUCCACACUCUCUCCUUUUCAAUUUGCUUUAUAUUUUCUGCUGUCAAGUAUAUCAGGUUUCAGUUAUUCAUCCACAGGAUCACCACCUUGACUCUGCUGCUCCUUAUAGAUACUUCAUUUGUGCCAGAUCUUCCCGCCAAGGCGAGCUGUAAAAGCAUCUGUUUAUUCUUCUUGUCCAUCAGGUAAUUGUGAG
rnacentral:lncRNA from 10 species